CAGCAGCCGCGGUAAUACGGAGGGUGCAAGCGUUAAUCGGAAUUACUGGGCGUAAAGCGCACGCAGGCGGUCUGACAAGUCAGAUGUGAAAUCCCCGGGCUUAACCUGGGAACUGCAUUUGAAACUGUCAGGCUGGAGUCUUGUAGAGGGGGGUAGAAUUCCAGGUGUAGCGGUGAAAUGCGUAGAGAUCUGGAGGAAUACCGGUGGCGAAGGCGGCCCCCUGGACAAAGACUGACGCUCAGGUGCGAAAGCGUGGGGAGCAAACAGGAUUAGAUACCCCUGUAGUCCCUGUCUCUUAUAA
rnacentral:rRNA from 1 species